GAGAAGUCGGUUAUGAAGAGGAAAGAUAGAACCAAAAGCUAAGCAAAAGAAAAGAAAGGAAAAAGGAAAGAAAAAAUCGUGGGAGAGGAAGAGAAAAGGAACAAAAAUUCUGCUCUUUUCUUGGCACGGUUUUGCUGUACUUUGAGGGAGGAAAAGAGAGCUUUUUGCUGCAAUUUUUGGAGGAAGAAAAAAGCUAAAAAUUUUGAGAAAAAUUAGAGCUAUUUGCUGAUAGUUUGUGCAGGAAAAGUGGACAGCUUUGUGCUACCAAAAUUGAGAAGUUUUGUUGCUGGAAAUUUGAGUUGAAAAUUGCUGAUUUUAGAGCAAAAAAUGACAGCAAAAGGGUGAGAAAAUGAGGCUUUUGGUGACCGAUUUUGAGAGGAAAUGAAGAGAGGAAGCCACGGUGGUGAAGGGAAUGACGGCUGGAAAGAAAAAGAAAAGAAAAGAAGAAGAAACGUGGAAGAGAGAAAAAGAAAGAAAAAGAAAUAGAAAAUAAAUGGGCAUGACCCAAUAGAAAAUAAGUGGGCAUGGCCCAAUAUGAAAUAAAAAAUAAAUGGGCUUAGCCCAAAUAGGAAAAAUGGAGAAGCCCAUGGAGAAGGCCCAAAGGUUAUAAAGAAAUGAAAAAGACCCAAAGGUCAUAAAAAAAUGAAAAAGGCCCAAUGGAAAGUUUGUCGUGGAGGCGUGCCGAACGAAGUUUGUGACCGACAAAUAGAAAUAAUUAUAUACGCGUACGAAUCAAUAGUGAAGUAAUAUCUCACUAUUAUGAGGUGAGUAUGGGGGUCUCAAUUUUAAAAAUUCCGUAUAUAUAUAUACAUGUACGUAUAUUUUACGUGAAGUGCAAAAUUUAUGGAAAGCAUGCGUUGAUAGAAUUUUAA